rnacentral:tRNA from 1 species
AAUGAAGUGCCUGAAUAAAGGGUUAUCGUGAUAGGGUAAAUAAUGUAUGUAAUACCUUCAUUA